UACGAAGGGGGCUAGCGUUGUUCGGAAUUACUGGCGUAAAGGGCGCGUAGGCGGUGUGUCAAGUCAGGCGUGAAAGCCCCGGGCUCAACCUGGGAACAGCGCUUGAGACUGGCACGCUCGAGUUCGGGAGAGGAUGGUGGAAUUCCCAGUGUAGAGGUGAAAUUCGUAGAUAUUGGGAAGAACACCGAUGGCGAAGGCGGCAUCCUGGACCAAUACUGACACUGAGGAGCGAAAGCCAGGGGAGCGAAACGGG
rnacentral:rRNA from 1 species